rnacentral:rRNA from 1 species
GACGAACGCUGGCGGCGUGCUUAACACAUGCAAGUCGAACGGAAAGGCCCUGCUUUUGUGGGGUGCUCGAGUGGCGAACGGGUGAGUAACACGUGAGUAACCUGCCCUUGACUUUGGGAUAACUUCAGGAAACUGGGGCUAAUACCGGAUAGGAGCUCCUGCUGCAUGGUGGGGGUUGGAAAGUUUCGGCGGUUGGGGAUGGACUCGCGGCUUAUCAGCUUGUUGGUGGGGUAGUGGCUUACCAAGGCUUUGACGGGUAGCCGGCCUGAGAGGGUGACCGGCCACACUGGGAGUGAGACGCGGCCGAGACGCCGACGGGAGGCAGGAGUGGGGAAUGGUGCGCAAUGGGCGAAAGCCUGACGCAGCCAUGCCGCGGGAAUGAGGAAGGUCGUAGGAGUGUAAAAUUCUUUCAACGGGGACGAGAAUGACGGUACACGGAGAAGAAGCCCCGGCUAACUUCGUG